rnacentral:rRNA from 1 species
UGGGGAAUAUUGCACAAUGGAGGAAACUCUGAUGCAGCAACGCCGCGUGGAGGAUGACACUUUUCGGAGCGUAAACUCCUUUUAUAUAGGAAGAUAAUGACGGUACUAUAUGAAUAAGCACCGGCUAACUCCGUGCCAGCAGCCGCGGUAAUACGGAGGGUGCAAGCGUUACUCGGAAUCACUGGGCGUAAAGAGCGUGUAGGCGGAUAGAUAAGUUUGAAGUGAAAUCCAAUGGCUCAACCAUUGAACUGCUUUGAAAACUGUUUAUCUAGAAUAUGGGAGAGGUAGAUGGAAUUUCUGGUGUAGGGGUAAAAUCCGUAGAGAUCAGAAGGAAUACCGAUUGCGAAGGCGAUCUACUGGAACAUUAUUGACGCUGAGACGCGAAAGCGUGGGGAGCAAACAGG